ACUGAUUGCCUCGUACGGCGAGUGAAGCGGCAAAAGCUCAAAUUUGAAAUCCUGCGGGAGUUGUAAUUUGAAGGUUGCGGGUCCUGAGGCUGUGCGCGCCCAAGUCCAUUGGAACAUGGCGCCUGGGAGGGUGAGAGCCCCGUCCGGCGCAGCGCAGUCUUUUUUGCGGCCCGUUUCCGACGAGUCGAGUUGUUUGGGAAUGCAGCUCAAAGUGGGUGGUAAAUUCCAUCUAAAGCUAAAUAUUGGCGAGAGACCGAUAGCGAACAAGUACAGUGAUGGAAAGAUGAAAAGCACUUUGAAAAGAGAGUGAAACAGUACGUGAAAUUGUUGAAAGGGAAGGGCUUGCAAGCAGACACGGUUUCGGCCGGGCCAGCAUCGGUUUGCCGGGGCGGACAAUGCGGCGGGAAUGUGGCGCGCCUCCUUGCGGGGCGCGUGUUUAUAGCCCGCCGAGAUACGCCCAUGGCAGACCGAGGCCUGCGAUCCAAUCUAGGAUGCUGGCGUAAUGGUUGCAAGCCGCCCGUCUUAAA
rnacentral:rRNA from 1 species